rnacentral:rRNA from 1 species
UACAGAGGUCUCAAGCGUUGUUCGGAUUCAUUGGGCGUAAAGGGUGUGUAGGUGGCGCCGUAAGUCGGGUGUGAAAAUUUCGGAGCUUAACUCCGAAACUGCAUUCGAUACUGCGGUGCUUGAGGACUGGAGAGGAGACUGGAAUUCAUGGUGUAGCAGUGAAAUGCGUAGAGAUCAUGAGGAAGACCAGUGGCGAAGGCGGGUCUCUGGACAGUUCCUGACGCUGAGGCACGAAGGCCAGGGGAGCAAACGGG